rnacentral:rRNA from 1 species
AUUGAACGCUGGCGGCAGGCCUAACACAUGCAAGUCGAACGAGAGGCGGACGGGUGAGUAAUGUGUGGGAAACUGCCCGAUGGAGGGGGAUAACUACUGGAAACGGUAGCGAAUACCGCAUACCCUCUGAGAUGCCCAGAUGGGAUUAGCUUGUAGGUGGGGUAACGGCUCACCUCGGCGACGAUCCCUAGCUGGUCUGAGAGGAUGACCAGCCACACUGGAACUGAGACACGGUCCAGACUCCUACGGGAGGCAGCAGUGGGGAAUAUUGCACAAUGGGCGCAAGCCUGAUGCAGCCAUGCCGCGUGUAUGAAGAAGGCCUUCGGGUUGUAAAGUACUUUCAGCGGGGAGGCGUUACCCGCAGAAGAAGCACCGGCUAACUCCGUGCCAGCAGCCGCGGUAAUUC